CCUGAGAAACCCAAAAGAUCGAAUGGGGAGAUUCAGCGUCAGCUCACUUUGUAUAUGUAUGAGUUAUGAUGCGAGUUACUCUUGUAGUAUUGCUUGCACAUACUUGUAUAUUUAUUUGCAAGGUGUUGUCGGCGUGCACUUCUCCCCUAGUAGGACGUCGCGACCCGUUGGGUGUCGGUCUAUGGCCCAAGUGGUAGCCUUUAAUGUUUAACAACUUUAAAGACCCUUGGUGUUUUCUGACCGGCUACCCGACGGUACUCGUACGGUAUUUAGCCGCAUUUAAUGUGCGUCCAUAUCCGUCGCAAGCGAGGCUAGUUUCUGGUAGUACGGACUUUGUGCCGUCGCUGGAGCUCGCCAGCUGUUGGCUGUAACGGUACUCUAGGACUGGCUAAAAAUUAUUUACCGGUCGGCGAUGCUACUGCUUUGGGUACUUUCAGGACCCGUCUUGAAACACGGACCAAGGAGUCUAACAUGUGCGCGAGUCAUUGGGAUUUUUUUUAAAUUAAACCUAAAGGCGUAAUGAAAGUAAAGGUCGUCCUUGCGUCGAUCGAGGGAGGAUAAGUUGUGUUAAGAUACAGCUUCGCACUCCCGGGGCGUCUCAUUCUCAUUGUGAGAAGAGGCGCACCUAG
rnacentral:rRNA from 1 species